CUUUUUCUAGUGCUGAAUGAAAAGACUACAUUAGAUUCUUUACCUGAAAAUGACUCCCUAAAGAGCCAGAGUUAUUUAAUAAUUGUGGGCCCAGCAAAUCGUAAAAGUAAGGUCCUUGAAAUACAAAUAAACUAAAUCUACCCCCAAAAAUAUACUAAGAGGUCAGUAAAAGUCCCUCCAGGGACCUGUAUCGUAAGAAUCAUGUGCUCAACUCCAUAUAUAAAGUGAGGAAUUAAGAAGAGCUUUUCCAAUACAGUCUUUCUCCACUACUGCUUUAUAUUUAGAGAUAACAGAGGCGGUAUUUUAACAAGAUUACGGGAAAGUUUUACAUUUACUUUUAAAAAAUUCCUGUUAUUCCACAAUAUCACAGCCGUUUCCAUUUUUCAUCUACCGUUUGCAUAUUCGUUUUCUUAUGGUAAUCACAAAAACCUGUGAUUGUGCUGAUGCGAUCUGUUUAUUUCCACUUUAGGUAAACUUUUAAAGAUAACUGUUAUUUCGUGCUCUCUCUCGCGGGAACGCAGCUGAGGACACGAGGAGUAGCCAACCCCAAGAAAAGCUAUGAAUUAGCGAGAGAGGACAGGCAGGCAGGGAGAGAAGGUGAGGGCUGGCCGUACCGCGGCCUCGAGGCCCCGCCUCCCCGGGCCCCAGGCCCAGGCUCCGCCUCCCCGGGCCCCGCCCCGGCCCGCCGCCAUGUUGUUCCCUUGGUGCUGGACGUGAGUAGCUGGAGUUGGACCUGGGCAGAGCUACUACGGUCUCCUGUCUGCGGGUCCCCGACCUUCUCUCCUCGUUGCACCCCGACGGGCCAGCCGGGACCUCCCCGGGCGUCCUCUGUGUGGCCACGAGAUAAUGAUGCUACUUGAACCGAACAAUUAAGGUAACAUUUAUGACCUAUGUGAUAUGCUUUUCUUAUUCAGGAUUCUUUAUCAAAUUUAGCUGAAUUGUUAAAGUCAUGUUUUAACCUUGGUGAGGAUUAUUAUUAUUGCCCGUGGGCAAUCGUUCUGAACUGUGGAGUAUAAAAGACUUCACAUUAUAUUUUAAGGUAAGUUCUGAAAAUAACAUAACAGGAUGCCUUUAUUCAUUCAUCUUACACUGAAGUUUCAAAGGGUUUUACUGUUUUAAGAAAAGAAAAAGGGAGGGGCACCUGGGUGGCACAGCGGUUAAGCGUCUGCCUUCGGCUCAGGGCGUGAUCCCGGUGUUAUGGGAUCGAGCCCCGCGUCGGGCUCCUCUGCUGCGAGCCUGCUUCUUCCUCUCCCACUCCCCCUGUUUGUGUUCCCUCUCUCGCUGGCUGUCUCUGUCUAAUAAAUAAAUAAAAAUCUUUAAAAAAAAAAUUAACAGAGCCUAGUUCUCCAACCCAUUAAUGUAAUGUACAAUUAUCAUGUCAUUUAAAAAAAAAAGAAAAGAAAAAGGGAGUUUUUUUAAUGUCUCUAAGCCAGUUAUGGUUAUGUUCAUGUAUAAAUUGCCUGAAGCUAGCUUUUCUUGGAUUUAGUGGGAAAUAAGAUGGUUUAUAUAAUUAUCUCUAUCACCAUGUGUGUUUAUGUACAACUCUACAGUAAGAAUCAGAGAAGUGUUUGUAUAUAUAUUGUUUUAGCAAAUGCCAGCAUCCUUCCAAAUAGGGUAUCUGCGAGGCCCCAAAUUAUAGAUGCCCCACUUCCUGGUGCAUGGGUCUAGCAUACCUCAGAUUUGUUUAAUCAGAAUAAUGGCACCAACUAAGAAUCCCACAUUAUUAUAGAAAAAGAAAAGACCUGUGUCAAAGUGUCCUGAUAAAAUUAUAAAUGACAAAUCAAGGAAUGUCUAAGACUUAAUUUGGUAGAUAUAUGCAACCAGUCACCUGGGUGGAGGUUAUUAAUAAUCUGGCUUAUAAUUUGAUGUGAAGAUCCUAAUAACAGUUCAGUGCUGUGCAAUAAAACUUUGGUAAGGUAGCUAGAGACUUAAAUACUGGGCUAAAUGGUAUACUAGAAUCAUGCACAUCUUUUACAUCCUUAUAACACGGAAUGGAACUUUUGGGUUCAUGUAUCUUGAAAAUUUUGUGAAGGGAACAACCGUGGAAAGGGGGCUUCUGGGAAAGGUUCCUGGUGUUGGUGAUGACCAUGCUGAGUGGUUCCGAGGGCUCAGCAGUUAGGUAAAGUGGGGUAGGAUCACCAAAGGAGGAAGCAGUAUGUGCCAGGGCCAAGGCAAGGGAGAGCAUGGGAGCUAAGCAAGUGGAACUGAAUUUCAGUUCCAUUGGACUGUGCAUUUCCAAAUGACUGAAGCUGAAAAUGGGGAGCAGGGCUAGGUGUCUUGUCUUAGAAGUUGGACUUAGAUCUGAAUCUCUGGAGAACCACUGGAGUGUUAAGGAUAGGGCCUUAGACCAAUGCUUUUUCCCCAUGUCAUAAUAGCUGGUAUGCAUUUUUGGUUUUGUUAUUCCUUUUUGCUAUAAAUUGAAAUUGCUUAAGCAAGAUUGCAAAGUUAAACAAAGGAACAGAUUUAUCAGGUUGUUACCUAUGUCAGGAAAUUAAGAGGUUUGGGAUUGUUUCAAUUUCCUCUUUGACAUGAAUUUAGUUUGGGCAUUGAGCAGAGUAAUUCACUAAAGUGAAAGAAGUCUCCAAGAGGUAAGUACUUUGAUUGCCUUAUAGUUUUGUUGGCCAAUUUAAAUUGUAUCAGUUAUAGUAGUAAUUACUAUAGUAGUAAUUUAAAAGAGUCAAUAAGAGUUACGGACAAGUUCUACAGGUUUUACCAGAAUAGGGUAUCAUGUAGUUGGAAAUGCAGAAUUCUUACACAUUACAGGAAGUAUUUAAUUCCAUUAUACUGGGUCACAUUUGCAUAUAACCAGGAGAUAGCCAGAGAAUGUUCACUGCAGUGAAUUUCCAAAUCCAUCUUAGUCAAUGUAACAAUUAUUGUUCAUGUCUUCAUUACCUUCCCAUUGAGGGAUUCACAAUAUAUCCACUUUCAUGUUAAAGUUAAUUACCAUUUUUGCUCUAGAACUGUGCUGGCCACUACAGCUAUUGCCUCUUUAAGUGUGACUAUUCAAAUUAGUUAUGAUUAAAUAAAAUUUAAAAUUCAGUUCCUCAUUCCCUCGAGCUAUAUGUCAGAUGCUCAGUAGUCACAUGUGGCUAGUGGCUGCCAUAUUGGACAGUGCAGAUGGAGGACAUUUCCAUCGUUACAGAAAAUUUUGUUAGUGCUACUCCAAAGGUUGUCUCCUUUUACAAAUUUUAAUGUACUUAAAAGCCAUGUAAUAGUGAAAUAUUUACAGAUUAAAUGAUAUAAUUUGAUUCAGAAUAACUGCGGAGAAUGGAGAGUUAUAGAAGAAACAGAAUUUGCCAUAAGUUGAUAAUUGGUGAAGCUAGGUUUGGAAUCCAUGGGGGUUUCAUUAUAUUAUUCUCUUAUUCAGAAAUUUUGUGUAUGUUUGAAAUUUUCCAUAACAAAGAAUAAAAACAGAAGCCUUAAAUAGGAACAGUGCUCCUGUCGGCACUUAAAAGUAGCCAUCUGGGGACACCUGGGUGGCUCAGUCGGUUAAGCGUCUCCCUUAGGCUCGGGUCAUGAUCCCAGGGUCCAGGGAUCGAGUACGGCAUUGGGCUCCCUGCUCAGCAAGGAGCCUGCUUCUCCCUAAGCCUGCCGCCGCCCGCUUGUACUCUCGUGCUCUCUCUCCCCCUCUUGCGCACUCUCUCUCACUCUCUCUGGUAAAUAAGUAAAUAAAAUCUCAAAAACCAAAAAAAAAAACAAGUAGCCAUCUGUAAAUGGGCACCUGAAAUUUUACCCUACACAGGCUGGUGCCUAUGGUGUAGGGAAAUGUUUAUUCCUGCCCCAGGGCUUCCCCAAAAGGGUAUUUAGAGUACUGCAUUUUUAAAAAAAGGUUUUAUUUAUUUGAUAGCAUAAGCAGGGGGCAGGGGCAGAAGGAGAGGGAGAAGCAGGUUCCCUGCUGGGCGGGGAGCCUGAUGUGGGGCUCAAUCCCAGGACCCUGAGAUAAUGACCUGAGCCAAAGGCAGAUGCCUAACCAACUGAGCCACCCAGGCACCCCUAGAGUACCACAUUGUUAAGGUUUAUCUCAUUCCCUCUGGAAACAUACAAGUGACAGCCCAGGUUCAUAUUUAUUAAGAGUUGGAACUGCCCGAAUGAGUCUUGUGGGCAGAAUGUGCUAGAUUAUGGUAUUCUGUUAAAAAAUUCCGUUGCUGCUGACAUUAAUUUUAGCC
rnacentral:lncRNA from 1 species